AUUGAACGCUGGCGGCAUGCCUUACACAUGCAAGUCGAACGGCAGCACGGACUUCGGUCCGGUGGCGAGUGGCGAACGGGUGAGUAAAGUAUCGGAACGUACCUUUCAGUGGGGGAUAACGUAGCGAAAGUUACGCUAAUACAGCACAUUCUGUGCGCAGGAAAGCAGGGGAUCGCAGUACCUUGCGCUGAUUGAGCGGCCGAUAUGAGAUUAGCUAGUUGGUGGGGUAAAGGCCGACCAAGGCGACGAUCUGUAGCGGGUCUGAGAGGAGGAUCCGCCACACUGGAACUGAGACACGGUCCAUACUCCUACGGGAGGCAGCAGUGGGGAAUUUUGGACAAUGGGGGCAACCCUGAUCCAGCCAUGCCGCGUGAGUGAAGAAGGCCUUCGGGUUGUAAAGCUCUUUCGGCCGGGAAGAAAUCGUACGGGUUAAUACCCUGUGCGGAUGACGGUACCGGCAUAAGAAGCACCGGCCAACUACGUGCCAGCAGCCGCCGUAACAC
rnacentral:rRNA from 1 species